GACGAACGCUUGCGACGUGCCUAAGAAAUGCAAGUCGAGCGAGGUAGCAAUACCUAGCGGCGAACGGUCGCGUAACACGUAAGCAACCUGCCCCAAAGACCGGGACAACGUUUCGAAAGGAGCGCUAAUACCGGAUGUGGUCAUCGGCUGACAUCGGCUGAUGAGUAAAUCGAGCAAUCGGCUUUGGGAGGGGCUUGCGGCCUAUCAGCUAGAUGGUGGGGUAACGCCUACCAUGGCGACGACGGGUAGCUGGUCUGAGAGGAUGGUCAGCCGGAUUGGGACUGAGAUACGGCCCAGACUCCUACGGGGGCA
rnacentral:rRNA from 1 species